GACGAACGCUGGCGGCGUGCUUAACACAUGCAAGUCGAGCGGUAAGGCCCUUUCGGGGGUACACGAGCGGCGAACGGGUGAGUAACACGUGGGUGACCUGCCCUCAGCUCUGGGAUAAGCCUGGGAAACUGGGUCUAAUACUGGAUAUGACUCCACGGUGCAUGUCGUGGGGUGGAAAGCCUUGUGCGGCUGAGGAUGGGCCCGCGGCCUAUCAGCUUGUUGGUGGGGGAUGGCCUACCAAGGCGACGACGGGUAGCCGGCCUGAGAGGGCGACCGGCCACACUGGGACUGAGACACGGCCCAGACUCCUACGGGAGGCAGCAGUGGGGAAUCUUGCGCAAUGGGCGAAAGCCUGACGCAGCGACGCCGCGUGAGGGAUGAC
rnacentral:rRNA from 1 species